CAUUGGCCUGCCCCGACAUUGGAUUACCUAGACAGAGAACUUGCAUAUAGUACACACUUAAUAAAUAUGAUUUGUUCCAUUGAGAUGGCCCACUGGUAAGGUGACCUUCUUGAAAACAGAAACUUGCCUGACUUGUUCACUGAUGCAUCCCUAGAACAUAGUAGGUACGGAAAAAAUGCUUGGACUGCAGAUUCCUUCCAGCCUUUGUUUACUUUUAAGAAGGUUGGGAAUGUCAGCCCCCACCAUUCAAUGAUAAUGCCAAACGAGAAGAGGAAACUUCUGUAUCAGACACCUCUUUUUAUUUAAGGCACCCCUGAAAGAGCACCUCAUGCACCCCAGAAAGCUGGUGGUUCAUCUUAUUCCAAGUGAACUAUAGAGAUGAAUCCUGCCCCACCUUACUCAAGAGCAAAACAACCCUGGAAAUGUGUUUUCCUGCUCAGUUAACCAGAGAAAGGAGUGGGGUGCAUAACGCUGUGGAAUAUUCCAAGCAGAGUAUUGCUCUCCUAUGCUUUUUCUCAAUGCCAAAUGUGUAUCAAAAUGACACGUAGUAAUUUCCCUUACCCAGAAACUACAGUUUGAAAUAUAUCCUACAAAAGAACAUUCCUCUCCAUUUCUUUUCCCCCUGUCAGCCAUCAGUUCCUUGACAACGAGAAGCCAUAUGCAAGAAGAUCUUACUUGAAGGCGUAAAAGAACAGAAUUCAUUCAGUGAUACAUCACUUUGGUUAUCUUGAAGAUACUUAAAGAGAAGCUAGAACGUGCCAGACAUUUCUCUGCAGACUUCAUGAAGAGUUGGAGAAAGUUUCAAGGUCACAGGGGAAAAUGGAUGUAGGGGCAUUAGCUGGCAUGUCCCUUUAAAGACCAUGUGUCCUUGAGGCUCCUGUCUGGGCUACACACCAGCACUCACGAUGAUAACAGUCCUGGGCUUGGCCAACCCAGCUGCUUUCUUGUGGGAGAGUUAGCACCAAGACCUUGUGGACUGAGGGAACACAGAGGCCCUCCGGGGGGGCUCUGGUCCUUGGAAUGUAGGUCAUACAGGGACAGUCCCUUUUGGCAAGCAUGCAGACUUUGUUCCUCUCCCUACUUAAGCCAGCUUCUCUCAGGGGGUGGCAGCGGAUGCACGUUGCUGUCCAGCCCACCGUCACUGAACCUCCCCUAAUUCCACAGCUCAGGUGAACUGGUGUUGUGGCGAGGAUGGGCAUGGAGCACAGUUUACACACCUGAUAUUACCAACCUGAGGAGGUAUGAACGUCAGCACCAUCACACUCUUGCUGGAAACUGGAGGAACUGAAGACACAAGGAGAUACAAUCACUUCAGGAAUAGCUCAACUGAGCACUGGCUGAAAGGAGGUAGGAAAGGUCAUAGAGUAUAUGGCUUCUAGAUGCUUCUGCUUCUGGAUGAAGCCCCCGGCUUCUGGGUGACAGCCAGACAGGAAAGUCACGGUCUUGGACUAUCAAUUCAAAUGAUCAAAGUCAACAGAGGAAACGCCAUGAGCGCCCAAGGUGAUGCUUCAAUUUCUGUGGCCCCUGGACAGUUGUCCUUGAAGGAAAAGGGCAUCUGAUAUUGUAGGGUUGUUUCUUUUGGAGCCCAGGGCUGUGAGAGUCCUUCUCUUAACCACGGUGGGGUAUUUUUAUUUACAGCUGGGAUGAUAAUUAUAUAUACGAUUUUUUUUAAUAUGGAACAUGGAUCCUCUUUUUUACUCUUAAAGGAGAGAAAGUUUUCCUACCAAAUCUGUUAUUACCAAGUGGUAUUUUCUUCU
ensembl:lncRNA